rnacentral:rRNA from 1 species
CCGCGAGGUAGAGCAAAUCCCCAAAAAACGGUCUCAGUUCGGAUUGCAGGCUGCAACUCGCCUGUAUGAAGUCGGAAUUGCUAGUAAUCGCGGAUCAGCAUGCCGCGGUGAAUACGUUCCCGGGCCUUGUACACACCGCCCGUCACACCAUGAGAGCCGGGAACACCCGAAGUCCGUAGUCUAACCGCAAGGAGGACGCGGCCGAAGGUGGGUUUGGUAAUUGGGGUGAAGUCGUAACAAGGUAAC